AGCUGAAAAAUCUUCCUUGCUCCCUGCAGGGGCAGAAACCCCAUAGAAAAAAACCCAAAUUUUUUUAUCCUUGAUUUGUGAAUUCACAGAUAUCUGGGAUUGUUAAAUCUCUGAUACAAGUCAGGAUGUGAGGAGGAAAAAUUGGAUUUUUCAACAGAAAUAAGGAGCAUGGCUCCACACAUGGAAAUUCUCCUAAAAAUUCUAUUUUCAGCAGAGGAAAAGAAAGCUGGAAAAAUUCUGCAAGGCAGAAAUUCCACAGAAAAAAAACCCAAAUUUUUUUAUCCUUGAUUUGUGAAUUCACAGAUAUCUGGGAUUGUUAAAUUUCUGAUACAAGUCAGGAUGUGAGGAGGAAAAAUUGGAUUUCCCAAAGUGAUACCAAGAAAAAUCAGGAAUUCCUCCUAAAGCCCUGGGAAUUGCAAAUCCUUCCUGCCUGGGAAAUUCCUGAUUUUUACUCCACUCCCAGAUAAUGGGAAGAAAAUUAAAACUUGUAUCAGAUCUGCCCCAUUAAACUGCAUUUAAUUCAAAACAAAUUUUGGAAAUUUGUAGUUUAUUUUCAGGCAGAGACAAGGUCACUGUCAGAAAAUAAAACUUUUAACUUGGUUGUGUCCAAGGAAAGUUGUUGAGGGGGAUCACAGAGGAUUUAAAAAAAAAUUAAAAUUUUUAAUUUUCCUGCAGGAAACACAAGAGUUUGAGUCACUUCUGCCCCUGAAUUCCAAGCUCAGCUCCUUCCACCUACUCAGGAAUAUUUCCAGAGUGAGAAAGGAGCUGAGCAGAACUGAAUCACACACAGAGUGUUCCAAAGGAGAAGCCUGGAAAAUUUGGGAAUUUUUUUUUUUUUUUUUUAACAUCCUUGCUCUUGGGGCCACUGAAUCCCAGAUGGAUGUGAUAAAACCAUUUAAAAGAAUCCAAAGGGAUUUUAAAAUUUUCCUGGUUCUGAAUUUUCCUGCCAUUUUCUACCACUAUGGACAGCAUCAUAAUAAUCAAAUAUCAAAAUAAUUCCAUUUAUUUUCAAUUUCCUGUGCUUCAGAGCCAAAUUUAUUGCUGAAACUUCCCUCUGCUGCCUUUUUUUUUCUUCUAAUUCUACAAUUUAAUCUCCUUUUUUUUUUAAUUUCUCAGAUUUAUCCUCCCUCCCAAGGUGUUCUGCAGGGGAAUUCCAGGGUGGAUCUGUCCCUCACUCUCUGAGAUUUUUAGGAAAUUCUUCUAAAAAUUCUAUUUUCAGCAGAGCAAAAGAAAACUGGAAAAUCCUCCUUGGUCCCUGCAGGGGCAGAAAUCCCAAAG